CUGUCUCCAUACCAUCUCUUGCAAAUUUUUGGUAUUGCUAAGCACUUUGACAACACCGGAGGCAGGCUCACAACAAGUUGUGUAGACAUUUUGGUGUGUUAGGGGCUCAAACUGAGGAAAAAUGGAAAAAGCUACAGAAGUGGUUUUGUCUCUUCUGCAUUUUAUUCAGUCGUCUGGGAAGCAUCAGUAGGGGGAAUGUGUUAAGCAUAGGGCAAAAUGUUGUUAGGGCGACUCCUUGCACCAGCAGUUUCCUCCUUGCUGUAGUUGCCACAAUGAUCCUGCUCUGAAAGAAAUGAGAUCAGUCCUUAGAACCAGCAGUUGCUGACAGGUAAGUUUUGUGAGCAGUAAGGCCCGUCUUCUUGCCAGGCUGUAAAAUGGCACAAGUCAUUUCAACUCAGUGACUGUAAUUUUAUAUUGGGAGAGGGGCAUGAGGUGGGGGAAGAGCCUUCUGUAGCUACAGAAAUUAAGGCUUCGGGGUCAGUGUAAAACCACAAGCCCUAGAUGAGAAACAAAGUACUUCACUGGUAUGGUCUUUAGGAUGCCCCAGCCCAGAAGAGCUGCUGCAAUUGAAUACAUUUUAUUCUGAUUACUCUUUAUAGCUAUUUUGUACACUCUUGUUGCUGCCCAUUUACACAUAUCCAACACUGUGUGCUCUGUGCUCUGUUUUCCAUGUAAUUUUUGUCUGUACGUUCACCCUGUGGAGUUCACAGCUCAGGAUUUAAUAAGCUUUGGUAUAUCAUAAAUGAGUUUAUGUAAACAAGCAUCUGUUGAUGGCAUAGGAGCUCAGGUUCUUGGCUAAUACAGAAAGGGUUCCUCUUAGAGCAACAAAUUUCAGUGCUGAUAUGCAAAGUGAAACACUCAGAUUCCUGUUACACUUGCACAACCUGUUGAGAUCCGAGGAAGUUGUACUGGUGUAACAAAGGAUGGUCAGCAGUUUCACUAGGAAACUUUGGACAAACCUGCCUAGGCAGUAACUUUCAGUAAGUACAGCACUGCCAUGUCACGUCUGCUUCAAGUGCUUAUUUCAGUAGUGGAUGAAACAUCAGGAUUGCAAGGCAGAUAUGUGCUUGCUACAGGUAUUUGUGAAUUCUUCUAAAGGCUUGUCUUGAUUUAAUGGUAGAGAACUGCAUUUAUCUUACUGCCUCCAAUUAACUUGUGCAAAUUGCUUAGUAAUCCAAAAUUAUUAAAAUGUUCAAAAUAAUGACUUUGAAUUUUUAUUGUGGGC